ensembl:lncRNA
CUUGGAAGGAGGCCGCGGAUUGGGGCACAUCUUGGCCCAGUGCCCUUCUUGGCUGCACUUGAAGCAGGCCCCCGGAGGGGGGUUUUGGGGCCCCGAGCCCGCCGCCGGCCGCAGGGCCGCUACCAAGGCCUGGGUUUGCUGGUUUGGGAGGCUUGCCUGAAAUUCGGCCUUUUGCUUGAGCCUUGCCUUUCGGCUGGCCUCAGCAGUUUCUUUGCGGGCAUUGUAGACCUUAAAAGCCAUUUUUACCAGGUCUGGGAUAGGGGUCUGAGGGCCGUCCUCGGCCUUGGCCAACUUUUUUCGGAUAUCGGGGGCAGACUGGGAGAUAAAACGAUUGGCCAAGGUGGCCGCCCCGAUGGGGGACUCAGGGGACAGCCUGGUGUAUUGGACGAGGGCCUCGGUCAGCCGAUUAAGGAACAUGGCUGGGUUUUUGUCGGGCCCCUGGGUCACCUCAUCUAGUUUGAGGAGGUUUACCACCUUUGUGAGAACAAAUUAGCCGAAGCAACCCAGGGGUCCAACCGUACAACGGUCCCCCAGACCUUGAUGGCCUGAGCGUCGGAAAUCUCAGGUUCCCUGCUUUUGAACGUACAUCCAGUGCCGUGAGUGCAGGCUCAUCAGACUUGCCGAUGUUACUUCCCAUGCUGCCGAGGGAGAGCAGAGAGAAGAGUCACUGAGGACAACCACCAGAAAUCCUACCGGGAGCGGUGGCGGCCAGGAAGUUGGGUUUGUGGUAUGCUUUUGGAACUAUUUAUGUGCCUACACCGUUGCACGGAAGUUUUCUUGCUGGGAGCGGGCACCCUAAGGGUCUCCAGCCCGUUCCAUGACCCCCUUGUCCUGUCACGGGAGUCUUUAAGUGGCCCGCGCCCUAAUGGCCUUUAAGUGCCUGACGCGUGCCCACAGGGAAGAUUCUAGGCCAAGUCCUCAGUUCAGAAUGUUUGAAGGAGAGUUUCACCCGAUCGGGCUCUAGCUACUGAGGCUUACCCGUCGUGGGGCCUUCAAAGUCCACCAGAGAGUGGCCCUAGCCAGGACUUGUCAAUUGCCUCCACAACCAUUUGCCUGUUCACUGAAACUCCCGAAAAAAGAAACUAAGGAUAAAUCAGAAAAGAGAAGAAGAAGGAAAGUGAGCAGAGAGGGUUUCGCCAAUUGUCCUAUACGGGGGACUCACCUUGAAGUCUGGCUUUACCUGGGUGUCGUUUCUCUUCAGGGAAACGCCGCGCCGGGGCCCGUUUAGUGGCCAUUGGUCGCUUCUUCUUUCAGAGCCGCACGGUGUCACAGCCUCAGUCGGUCCACUUCGAGCCCCAUGUUGGGCACCAGUUUUUGCGGGGGGUGUGCCGCAAAAAGAGAGAGGCCGUGGAACUUCCCUCAUCAAGGCCGAGAGGUCCCGAGGAGAGGUGAGCCUGCUGUCCGCCAACCCAGCCCCCUGGCGAGCGAGAGACAAUCAGACGUGACAGGGGUUCUGUCUGAGCAGUUCCACUUUAUUGUCGUAAGCUCUUGGUUUAUAAAGGCAAGCGUGGGGGGGUUUGCAAGGGACUUUCCAUAGUUCUACUAAUCAAGUUAAAGGUCAGAUUACCAUGCGCUUACAUCAUGAUGGGUCUCUGGUGAUCACGUGUUGUCCACGAGCACGGAAAUCAAGAGGGCCAAUCAAAAAUUUUGACACAAUAUAGACCACGCCUUCGCUCCUCCCUGCAGGUGCCAUCUUAGCUUCUCACCACAAUGCGUGUGUUUUCUUUAAGCCCAAGCUUAGCAUGUUACUCUUAUGCCCAAGGGUUUCUCCACUUGGGGCCCCACAGGGGUGGAGGGGGUCGAGGAAGUAGCAGGGGCUGGAGUGUCUUCUGGAGGCACUGGGAGGGCAGAAGUUUCCUCCUCGGGCAUCCCUGGGUGGGCCGCUGAUGGCCUCCUUCGUGGUGUAGGGCUAGGGAGAGCCAUGGUUAGGAUAAUUUCAGAAGGGGAACAGUGGGUACAUAGGGUGGGAUGGGAGCGCAACGGCCAGAAAGCCUGUACGUAGGGUACCUCAGACCAUUUUCCCGUCCUCCGGCAGUAAUUAAGUCACGGAGGAUGUUAAAAUCGAAAGUUCCGGUUGGCGGCCACUGUGAGCCGUUAUCUAAAGAAUAUGGGGGCCAUGCCUCAGAACAGAGGAAGGCUAAGCGUUUGGAGCGAAUUUCUCCAGAGAUAUGUAGAGUUCUGAGGUUGGCGAGUACACAUUCUAGCGGUGUAGACCAGGGCUGGUCGGCCUUGGAGGCAGCUGCCCGCAUGGUGAAUAUGAAAUGAAGGUCCUGGACCAGUCGUUAGCGGGGCUGGGAGUGGUCCGGUCAGGCGUCCCCAAACGGGGCGUCAACCCAGCGAGGAGAGGGCCACUCAGCCAAGACAGACGUCUCCGAGUUGACUGGCACCAAGGAAUGGCAGGCCUGGCCUGUGGAGGGGUCUGGAUGCGGCUGCAAUUUAAAAGGACCGAGACACCCUAGGAAUAAUCGCCAUGGGAGCAACACCCCCCAGAACCCGACCAGUGGAACUUACCCCGUAUCCUGCCAGAUGGUUGGAUGGUCCCGGCGGGGUGGCAGGGUGACCUGGUCAGGUGCAGGCCAGACCCGAGGGGGCUGCAAAUCCCAGGAUGGGCCCUCGCCUCGAGCCCCAUGUUCGGCGCCUAAUGUUAGGUAAAAGAUGACCAGCACACCAAAAGGAGUGUCUAACAGGCUUUAAUGGUGAAGCGCUCCCGGGCGGGGUUCCCGGACCCGAACGAGGCAGGUCGAGGAAGUCCACGCCCGGACUGUGCUGGGGAGUGGUUUAUAUGCGUUCGUUGCGAGGGAUGGUCAGGCUAGAUCACCCAGAAAAGGUACAGUUAGUGGACGGGGGUUCGGACAGGUUGUUAGGUCGAGGUGUUGCGCGGGCUGAUAGGUCCUUCUACGUGGCUGGGGUGGGGCGGCUUAGCUGGCAAAAUGUGCUGUCAUUGGUUCCCUGGGAUCCGGGAGGAUCCUUCCGUUAGGGACUUUCUCACCUGCGGGAGAGAGGAGGGUGGCCCAUCAUGGCCCCAGGGUCCGGCCUUACACUAACAUUCCAGGUUCCUAUGAAGUGCUGCUCUUUACAGCACUGGACUUUGCUUCCAUCACCAGUCACGUCCACAGCCGGGUGGUGGUUUGCUUUCUCUUUGUCUCUUCAUUCUUUCUGGAGUUAGUUCUCCACUGAUCCCAGUAGCAUAUUGGGCACCUACCGACCUAGGGAGUUCAUCUUUCAGUGUCCUAUCUUUUUUCCUUUUCAUACUGUUCAUGGGGUUCUCAAGGGAAGAAUACUGAAGUGGUUAGCAAUUCCCUUCUCCAGUGGACCACAUUCUGUCAGAACUCUCUACCAUGACCCGUCUGACUUGAGUGGCCCUAUACGGCAUGGCUUAGUUUCAUUGAGUUAGACAAGGCUGUGGUCCAUGUGAUCAGAUUGGCUACUUUGCUGUGACUGGGUUCAGUCUGUCUGUCCUCUGAUGCCCUCUCUCAGCUCCUUCCAUCUUACUAGGAUUUCUCUUACUUUGGACCUGAGGUGUCUCUUCACGGCUGCUCCAGGAAAGCGCAGCCGCUGCUCCUUUCCGUGGAUGUGGGGUAUCUCCUCUCGACCGCCACACCUGACCUUGGACAUGGCCUAUCUCCUCUCGGCCUCCCGCUGCUGCAGUUUGCCUUGAUUCGUGGUGCUAACAAUCCAGGUUCCUAUUCAAUAUUGCUCUUUACAGCACUGGACUUUCCUUCCAUCACCAGUCACGUCCACAACCGGGUGUUGUUUUUGCUUUCCCUUUGUCUCUUCAUUCUUUCUGGAGUUAGUUCUCCACUGAUCUCAGUAGUGUAAGAAACGCUGCGGGAAGAAAGAGCCCCCUCUAUGGACCGUUGAUCAGAGCCUUUAUUGGGCGGUCGCUCUCGGGCAGAACUCCCGGGGGCGGGUGAGCAAGGAAGCAAAGGGAGUCUGCGAGGUAUGAGGGGUGGGGAAAGGUUUUAUAGCCAGGGCCGGGCUCCCAUAUAAGGAAGAAAGCGCGGGCUCAGCGGUGGUUGGUGUCCAAGGGCUCCGUGUCGGCACCUGAUUGGACGGCUUGGUUGUCGGCCUGCCUCCGGGACUUGUCUGCGGCACUUUUUCGGGGCAUGCCUCAACACACCCGGGCGUGCCUCAACAUGUCUGGGCUUGCCUCAACAUGCCCAACCUUGCCCGACCUUUCAUCCCGGCGUUUGUGAUAUAGGACAAGGGGCGACGGUUCUCUCUGGCUACUUCCUGCUGAACGGGGGUGGCGAGGGGUAGGGUGUGGCCGGGAUGACAGGGGGCGUCUGCCGUUAAUUUUGUCACGGAGUGCUUGUUGGAAGCCCUUGGUACUGCCGUCACAGCACCAUCAGCUGGACCGUGUUGACACAGUCCCAGGAUUUACAUAUAGGUAAAAAGUAUGGCCAGAGCUGUAAUUGUCAGCACCACAGCAGGUGAUGCCAGACCAGCAUCGGAUCGAAUUGGACUGUGGUCUCUCAGUCAUUCAGGAAUCGGCGACAGAGGGGUUCGGGUGAUGGUCGGUUUGGUCGGCCCCGUGAGGGUGGAGCGGUAGGAGUGAUCGGGAGAAGGGGUCGGGGCCGGGGCCACCUCUGUCUCUGGGAGACCCGUGGGAGCUCGUUUGAGUCGGGUCAGGUGGUACCAGGGCUCGUGUCCCAGGAGUUUGGCUGCUGUAGGAGUGGUGAGGAUUACAGUAUGGGGUCCCGUCCAGCGAGGCUGUAGUGGGCGGGGACUCGGGUUUUUAGAGUACCUGAUCUCCUGGGGCCAGAGGCUGGGUGGCCCCCUCGUCGUCUGUCGGUCGUGGCAGGACCCGGUCUGCGUGUUCCCUCAGCAAGGAUCCUAGGAGGGAGAAGACAGGGAGGUACCCCAUGAGUGGGGGAGCCUCUCCCUCUGGGAGGUGAGUCAGGAGAUAGGGCCUGCCGUAGAGCAGUUCAAAAGGGGUCACACCUGUUUUGGAGUGUUGUGUGGUGCGAGUGCGAGUGAGCGCCAGAGGAAGGAGGUCGACCCAAGACAGCCGCAGCUCUGAGGCAAGCUUGGUCAGAUGCGUCUUGAUGAUGCCGUUCAUCUGCUCUACCUUGCCUGACGAUUGGGGCCGAUAGGGGAUGUGGAGAUGCCAGCCGAUACCCAGGGCCGCAGCCACCUGCUGAGAGAUCUGCAAGAUAAAUGCAGGCCCGUUGUCAGACUGGAGAGAGUUUGGCAACCCAAAUCUGGGAAUGAGAUGGGCCAUCAAGACCUCUGGCACCGCCGCUGCCGUCUCCCGGGUGGUGGGGAAGGCCUCGACCCAUCCUGAAAAGGUGUCCACCAAGACCAGCAGACAGCGGUAGGUUCGAUGUCUGGGCAUGUGGGUGAAGUCUAUCUGCCAAUCCUGCCCAGGCAUAUGUCCCCUAAACUGGUGAGUCUCCUGUGGGGGUCGGAGUCCUCCCUGAGGAGAGGUGGAGGUGCAUGUUAGGCAGGAUCGGUGGACAGUAUAUAUGGUCUGUCUGAGAUGUUGGGGAGAGAAGACAGGGCUGAGAAAGGAAAAGAGAGCCCUUGGUCCGAUAUGGAGGGUAUUGUGGAUUUGGGAUAUUAUGGCCUUAGCCUGGUGCUCAGGAAGCACCGGUUUAUUAUGGAGUAGUGUCCAUCCCGACGGGCGCCUCUGAGCCCCUUCUUGCGCCAGCAAGGCUCUGGCUUCCUUGCUCGAAUAAUCUGGGUCGAGGGUGGAUCUCAAAGUCAGCAGGGGCUCGGGGGCUUGUUGUACGGUGAUUUGUCGAGCCACUUGAUCUGCCAUACUAUUACCCAGAGUGACAGUGUCAUGGGUGUUCUGGUGUCCCUUGCAGUGUAUGAUAGCGACCUCUUUGGGCAGGGAUAAGGCAUCCAACAGUCGAGUAAUGUGGGGGGCAUUACAGAUGGGGGAUCCUUUAGUGGUCAGGAAGCCCCGUUCUUUCCAGAUUGCCACGUGAGAAUGGGCAACCAAGAAGGCAUACUUGGAGUCUGUGUAAAUAUUGGCCCUCUUUCCUCUGCCAGGUGUAAGGCUCUAGUUAGGGCUUUAGUUCAGCCUUCUGAGAAGUCGUCCCAGGUGGCAAGGGCUGAGCUUCUAGGACUUCCCGGGUGGUUACCACAGCAUAAGCCGCCCUUCGGUUUCCAUUGGGGUCUCGCUUUGAGCUCCCAUUGACGAACAAAGUUAGCUCUGGAUUUGGUAGAGGUUUGGAGAACAGGUUGUGGGGUGGUUGCAUAAGGGACUCAAGGACCUCCGAGCAUGAGUGGGCUGGGGGUUCUGAGGAGAGAGGGAGUGAGGGUAGCGAGAAAAGCGGGUUUAAUUGUGGGGAGCGGCCCGCGGAAACCUGAGGAUUGUCCAGGAAUACCAG